rnacentral:rRNA from 1 species
GAUGAACGCUGGCGGCGUGCCUAACACAUGCAAGUCGAGCGAGAACCGCUGGAAUGACACUUCGGUAGAAUGAAAGCGGGGAAAGCGGCGGACGGGUGAGUAACGCGUAGGUAACCUGCCCCAUACACAGGGAUAGCCUAGGGAAACCUGGAUUAAUACCUGAUGAAGCAACUGGUCGCAUGACCGGCUGCCAAAGAUUUAUCGGUAUGGGAUGGACCUGCGUCUGAUUAGUGAGUUGGUGGGGUAAUGGCCUACCAAAGCGACGAUCAGUAGCCGACCUGAGAGGGUGAUCGGCCACAUUGGAACUGAGACACGGUCCAAACUCCUGCGGGAGGCAGCAGUGGGGGAUAUUGCACAAUGGGCGGAAGCCUGAUGCAGCAACGCCGCGUGAGCGAAGAAGGUCUUCGGAUCGUAAAGCUCUGUCCUGGGGGAAGAACAAAUGACGGUACCCCGGGAGGAAGCCCCGGCUAACUACGUGCCAGCAGCCGCGGU